UGGAUCAUGCUAUUUUGAUUCUCCUGCUGUUUUCACAGUUAAAGCCAGCUCUUCAGCGAGGGGGGAGCUCAGCCUCUUUACACAACAGCACAAUGAGGAACACCAUUUUCCAGCUCAUGAUCCACACUUUAGACCCUCUCGGGGAAGGUAAAUUUAAGGAUAAGGCUGAGAUUCUGAAUCAUGU
rnacentral:lncRNA from 1 species